AUUGAACGCUGGCGGCAUGCCUUACACAUGCAAGUCGAACGGUAACGCGGGGCAACCUGGCGACGAGUGGCGAACGGGUGAGUAAUACAUCGGAACGUGCCCAGUAGUGGGGGAUAGCCCGGCGAAAGCCGGAUUAAUACCGCAUACGACCUACGGGUGAAAGCGGGGGAUCGCAAGACCUCGCGCUAUUGGAGCGGCCGAUGUCAGAUUAGGUAGUUGGUGGGGUAAAGGCCUACCAAGCCUACGAUCUGUAGCUGGUCUGAGAGGACGACCAGCCACACUGGGACUGAGACACGGCCCAGACUCCUACGGGAGGCAGCAGUGGGGAAUUUUGGACAAUGGGCGCAAGCCUGAUCCAGCCAUGCCGCGUGCGGGAAGAA
rnacentral:rRNA from 1 species